GGUUCAGGAUGAACGCUGGCGGCGUGCUUAACACAUGCAAGUCGAACGGAGUACUUACGCUGACAAAGCUUCGGCAGAGUCUUGUAAGUACUUAGUGGCGGACGGGUGAGUAACGCGUGGGUAACCUGCCUUAUACCGGGGGAUAACGUCUGGAAACGGACGCUAAUACCGCAUAAGCGCACGAUGAGGCAUCUUGUUGUGUGAAAAACUCCGGUGGUAUAAGAUGGACCCGCGUCUGAUUAGAUAGUUGGUGAGGUAACGGCCCACCAAGUCAACGAUCAGUAGCCGGCCUGAGAGGGUGAACGGCCACAUUGGGACUGAGACACGGCCCAAACUCCUACGGGAGGCAGCAGUGGGGAAUAUUGCACAAUGGGGAAACCCUGAUGCAGCGACGCCGCGUGAGUGAAGAAGUAUUUCGGUAUGUAAAGCUCUAUCAGCAGGGAAGAAAGACUCGCAAGAGAGAUGACGGUACCUGACUAAGAAGCCCCGGCUAACUACGUGCCAGCAGCCGC
rnacentral:rRNA from 1 species